AUUGAACGCUGGCGGCAGGCCUAACACAUGCAAGUCGAGCGGAUGAAGGGAGCUUGCUCCUGGAUUCAGCGGCGGACGGGUGAGUAAUGCCUAGGAAUCUGCCUGGUAGUGGGGGAUAACGUCCGGAAACGGGCGCUAAUACCGCAUACGUCCUGAGGGAGAAAGUGGGGGAUCUUCGGACCUCACGCUAUCAGAUGAGCCUAGGUCGCAUUAGCUAGUUGGUGGGGUAAAGGCCUACCAAGGCGACGAUCCGUAACUGGUCUGAGAGGAUGAUCAGUCACACUGGAACUGAGACACGGUCCAGACUCCUACGGGAGGCAGCAGUGGGGAAUAUUGGACAAAGGGCGAAAGCCUGAUCCAGCCAUGCCGCGUGUGUGAAGAAGGUCUUCGGAUUGUAAAGCACUUUAAGUUGGGAGGAAGGGCAGUAAGUUAAUACCUUGCUGUUUUGACGUUACCAACAGGAUAAGCACCGGCUAACUUCGUG
rnacentral:rRNA from 1 species